rnacentral:rRNA from 1 species
GCAUAUCAAUAAGCGGAGGAAAAGAAACCAACAGGGAUUGCCUCAGUAACGGCGAGUGAAGCGGCAACAGCUCAAAUUUGAAAUCUGGCCUCACGGUCCGAGUUGUAAUUUGUAGAGGAUGUUUCGGGCACCGCCGCGGUGUAAAUUUCUUGGAACAGAAUGUCAGAGAGGGUGAGAAUCCCGUCUUCGACCGCGGUAGGGCCCAUGUGAAACUCCUUCGACGAGUCGAGUUGUUUGGGAAUGCAGCUCAAAAUGGGUGGUAAAUUUCAUCUAAAGCUAAAUAUUGGCCAGAGACCGAUAGCGCACAAGUAGAGUGAUCGAAAGAUGAAAAGCACUUUGAAAAGAGAGUUAAACAGUAUGUGAAAUUGUUGAAAGGGAAGCGCUGGCAACCAGACUCGAGCGCGGUGGUUCCCCUCGGCUUCUGCCGGGGUUAUUCCACCGUGACCGGGCCAUCAUCAGUUUUGGGGGUCGGUCAAAGGCGCCGGGAAUGUACCCACUCCUUCGGGGGUGGACUUAUAGCCCGGCGUGUCAUGCGACCUCCCGGGACUGAGGAACGCGCUUCGGCGAGGAUGAUGGCGUAAUGGUUGUCAGCGACCCGUCUUGAAACACGGACCAAGGAGUCUAACAUCUAUGCGAGUGUUCGGGUGUCAAACCCUUGCGCGUAAUGAAAGUGAACGGAGGUAGGAAGGCUUGAGCCUGCACUAUCGACCGAUCCUGAUGUCUUCGGAUGGAUUUGAGUAAGAGCAUAGCUGUUGGGACCCGAAAGAUGGUGAACUAUGCGUGAAUAGGGUGAAGCCAGAGGAAACUCUGGUGGAGGCUCGCAGCGGUUCUGACGUGCAAAUCGAUCGUCAAAUUUGCGUAUAGGGGCGAAAGACUAAUCGAACCAUCUGGUAGCUGGUUCCUGCCGA